rfam:Rahnella aquatilis CIP 78.65 = ATCC 33071, complete genome.
CAGCAUAUCGGCAGCUGUUGAGCUGAGGGCGGUAGCGUG